UACAGAGGGGGGCGAGCGUUUAUUCGGAAUUAUUGGGCGUAAAGGGCGCGUAGGCGGCUUUUCAAGUGAUGGGUGAAAUCCCUCGGCUUAACCGAGGAACUGCCUGUCAGACUGGAAGGCUUGAGACCGGGAGAGGUGAGUGGAAUUCCCAGUGUAGCGGUGAAAUGCGUAGAUAUUGGGAGGAACACCAGUGGCGAAGGCGGCUCACUGGACCGGAACUGACGCUGAGGCGCGAAAGCGUGGGGAGCAAACAGG
rnacentral:rRNA from 1 species